rnacentral:misc_RNA from 1 species
GAUGAAGAACGUAGCGAAAUGCGAUAAGUAAUGUGAAUUGCAGAAUUCAGUGAAUCAUCGAAUCUUUGAACGCACAUUGCGCCCGCUAGUAUUCUGGCGGGCAUGCCUGUCCGAGCGUCAUUUCAACCCUCAAGCCCCCGGGCUUGGUGUUGGGGAUCGGCGAGCCUCCGCGCCCGCCGUCCCCUAAAUCUAGUGGCGGUCUCGCUGUAGCUUCCUCUGCGUAGUAGCACACCUCGCACUGGGAAACAGCGCGGCCACGCCGUAAAACACCCAACUUCUGAAUGUUGACCUCGAAUCAGGUAGGAAUACCCGCUGAACUUAAGCAUAUCAAUAAGCGGAGGA